rnacentral:ncRNA from 22 species
GGAGAUACGGGCGGUGGAGUUCGCCUCAGUCCCAACCGUUGCCGGUCCCGGCAGCCAAUGACUCCUGACACUUU